rnacentral:rRNA from 1 species
UACGUAGGUCGCAAGCGUUGUCCGGAUUUACUGGGCGUAAAGAGCGCGCAGGCGGCUGGUCAAGUCCGAUGUGAAAUCUCCCGGCUCAACUGGGAAACUGCAUCGGAAACUGAUCGGCUUGAAGAUGGGAGAGGGUAGUGGAAUUCCCGGUGUAGUAGUGAAAUGCGUAGAUAUCGGGAGGAACACCAGUGGCGAAGGCGACUACCUGGCCUGUUCUUGACGCUGAGGCGCGAAAGCUAGGGGAGCAAACGGG